GUGGGGAAUAUUGGACAAUGGGGGGAACCCUGAUCCAGCCAUGCCGCGUGUGUGAAGAAGGCCUUUUGGUUGUAAAGCACUUUAAGCGAGGAGGAGGCUACUGAGAUUAAUACUCUUGGAUAGUGGACGUUACUCGCAGAAUAAGCACCGGCUAACUCUGUGCCAGCAGCCGCGGUAAUACAGAGGGUGCGAGCGUUAAUCGGAUUUACUGGGCGUAAAGCGUGCGUAGGCGGCUUUUUAAGUCGGAUGUGAAAUCCCCGAGCUUAACUUGGGAAUUGCAUUCGAUACUGGGAAGCUAGAGUAUGGGAGAGGAUGGUAGAAUUCCAGGUGUAGCGGUGAAAUGCGUAGAGAUCUGGAGGAAUACCGAUGGCGAAGGCAGCCAUCUGGCCUAAUACUGACGCUGAGGUACGAAAGCAUGGGGAGCAAACAGGAUUAGAUACCCGAGUAGUCC
rnacentral:rRNA from 1 species